rnacentral:guide_RNA from 1 species
AAUAUACAACGAAGCAAAGAUAUAGAGAAAA